UUUCUUUUAGCUUAAACUAAAGCAUCAAUUUGAAGCGUUGGAGAUAACUUUUGUUAGAGAAAC
rnacentral:tRNA from 1 species